GACGAACGCUGGCGGCGUGCUUAACACAUGCAAGUCGAACGGAAAGGCCCUGCUUUUGUGGGGUGCUCGAGUGGCGAACGGGUGAGCAACACGUGAGUAACCUGCCCUUGACUUUGGGAUAACUUCAGGAAACUGGGGCUAAUACCGGAUAGGAGCUCCUGCUGCAUGGUGGGGGUUGGAAAGUUUCGGCGGUUGGGGAUGGACUCGCGGCUUAUCAGCUUGUUGGUGGGGUAGUGGCUUACCAAGGCUUUGACGGGUAGCCGGCCUGAGAGGGUGACCGGCCACAUUGGGACUGCGAUACGGCCCAGACUCCUACGGGAGGCAGCAGUGGGGAAUAUUGCACAAUGGGCGGACGCCUGAUGCAGCAACGCCGCGUGCGGGAUGACGGCCUUCGGGUUGUAAACCGCUUUCGCCUGUGACGAAGCGUGAGUGACGGUAAUGGGUAAAGAAGCACCGGCUAACUACGUG
rnacentral:rRNA from 1 species